AGUGUGCUCAAAGUGAGGGGGGCGUUUGGAGGGGGAUUCAGGCCAAUGUGUCUUCUUCUACUGUAAUAAAUUUUAUUUAAACACUCAACUUCGUUUUUGAUCACACCUUGAACCCUCCCCUACUCCCAGGUAGGGAACAACUGGUUCCCAUUGAAGCUGACGGUAACAGAAAAGUUCCUGCCCCAGGAGUUGGCUGGUGGCCACCAGAUGCUUCUCGCUACACAAACUGACUCUCUGGGGAAUCAAGAUGGGAAGCUCAAGGCGGAUCAUGAUGAGGUGGCAGAGUCGGCCCUGGUGAGUGCAGGCAGCUCAGUUCCUCCCCUCCUAGAGCUCACAGACCAGAGGGACUUCGGGAUCAGAAACCAAGGCCGGAGCUCAAGGGGAAGGAACAGGGCAACUGGGAAGAGGCCAUAUGAAGGCACAGAAGCCAGGCAGCGAAGGGGCCCUGAGUCCCUGAGGAUGCAACAUGCUCCCUGGCUGUGAUGGAGCUGCACAGGCAGCGUCUGCAUUCAGCCCUUCACUCACCCUCUCAGCAUCUGGCCAUUCAUUUGUUCUGCAAACCAGCCCUGGUGACCCAGCAACCAAUGCCUGUGACCUCCUCACCUGCAGGAACUCAGGCUACCAGAAGACCCUCUGCUCCCUGAAUACCUGAGGAGCCCUCCUUGAGGCUGCCUCCCAGGUGGGACCCUCCCUGCUCACUGGGCGCCCUGGGCCUUUCCUCUGAGUGCCUGGAGUAGGGCUGGCCCUCGGGCACAGCCUGUUGGUAGAAAGCAUGGAUCUGGGAGCUUUACAUGACUCAUUGUCUUCACCAGGCUCGAAUUUUACAGAUGAAGAAACUGAGGCCCAGAGAAGUGACGUGCCUGGGGCCACCCCACUAGGAAGUACUGGAGCCAGGCUUUGAAGCGGGCAGGUGGCUCUCAGCUGCUACACUGCUUAGCCCCCUGGGCAGGUAGUCUGAUGCAGAAUGGUUCUUCCCCUGGAACUAACCACAGCACCCCUCCCAGGCUCGACAGUGCUCACUGGGGAUGACCCCCAAAGGCCUGAGGCAAGGGCACUAGAAGAGGAGAGAGGGACAAGGGCCCAGGACUGCAGCCACCCCUGAAGGGGCCUCGGGCUGAGCUCCAUUUCUCAGUGAGAACCCCAGCUGGGGGAGAUGCAAGUCUGGCUACUUGGGUUCAUGGUUCACGAAGGGAGCAGGAAGCCCAGCUCCCAUGGGGGACCUUGGGCAGGUUGCUGCACCACGUCCUUGCUCUGAACAGCAGGGCUCCUGACAUCCUCCGGAAAGGGCCAGCAGGAGUCUAGAGACCAAGAGGUGAAAUGCUCCGCCUACGGGUCCCAAGAAUCCUUGUGUCCCCUCCUCCACCUGACUGGGUCACCUCAGCUACACUUUCUGCUCCUCCAAGGCAGAGGGCCUUCUUGGGGAUCCCUGAGGUCCCCAGAGUGGGUGGAACUCAUUCUUGGUGCCUGAGGCUCAGAUCCUGGACGUCUCCCCAAGAGCAGGGCUCACCUGGCCCUUUAGCCCCUUCAGCC